rnacentral:rRNA from 1 species
UACGAAGGGUGCAAGCGUUACUCGGAAUUACUGGGCGUAAAGCGUGCGUAGGUGGCGAGUUAAGUCUGUCGUGAAAGCCCCGGGCUCAACCUGGGAAUGGCGAUGGAUACUGGCUCGCUAGAGUGCGGUAGAGGAGAGUGGAAUUCCCGGUGUAGCAGUGAAAUGCGUAGAUAUCAGGAGGAACACCUGUGGUGUAGACGGCUCUCUGGACAGUAACUGACGCUGAGACACGAAAGCGUGGGUAGCAAACAGG